rnacentral:misc_RNA from 1 species
UUUCUUUUAAUUUGUUUUGUGCCAGCGUACUUCGCUUGAAAUACUCAACGAUUUUUUUGACUUUGGCCUGACAUGCAUGGCUGUGUUAAUGCUGUGAGCUAAACAGGCUAUAUGGCGCAAGUUGCCUUUCUUUACAGCUGCGACGAUAUUUGCCGCGUUGUCGCUCGCUAUUGCAGUUACUUUAUUCGAUAAUUUUUAAUCUUCUAGAUUUAGAUUUUAGGUAAUCGCAUUAAUUUUUUGCCGUGUGGCGUUCAGUAUACUCAAUACAGCCCAACAACAUAGUUUCCAAAUUAAUUUGUGCCUCGUCGUAGGACACGAAGUGCGCUGUCAUAGCAACAAAACUUUCGUUCAUGGAGCCGUCCGUUGACAUGCAAACCGCAGAAGCCACUUCUACUUUUUUUUUCAGAAACUUCCAAAAGCUUUUUAUACUGUUUUGACAGUAUAUUUUCAGAUAAAGUUUUUCUAGUCGGCAAAGAGUAACUAAGGUUCAGAAGCAUCACAAACUCGCGGAACUCCUUAUCCUCGACCAACCGUAGUGGAUGGUACUCUUUGGCUAUCAUGGUCAUCAGUUGCCGGUCUAUUA